rnacentral:rRNA from 1 species
CAGGAUGAACGCAGCGGCAGGCUUAACACAUGCAAGUCGAGGGGCAGCGGGAUGUAGCAAUACAUGCCGGCGACCGGCGGAUGGGUGCGUAACGCGUAUGCAACCUACCUUAUACAGGGGAAUAACCUUUCGAAAGGGAGACUAACACCCCAUAGUAUUGAUUUAAGGCAUCUUAGAUUAAUUAAAUAUUUAUAGGUAUAAGAUGGGCAUGCGUAUGAUUAGCUAGUUGGUAAGGUAACGGCUUACCAAGGCGACGAUCAUUAGGGGUUCUGAGAGGAAGGUCCCCCACACUGGUACUGAGACACGGACCAGACUCCUACGGGAGGCAGCAGUGAGGAAUAUUGGUCAAUGGGCGCAAGCCUGAACCAGCCAUGCCGCGUGCAGGAAGACGGCCUUAUGGGUUGUAAACUGCUUUUACAUAAGACUAACCGUAUAUUUGCGAAUAUACCUGAAUGUAUUAUGAGAAUAAGGAUCGGCUAACUCCGUGCCAGCCGCCGC